UACGUAGGGACCAAGCGUUGUUCGGAUUUACUGGGCGUAAAGGGCGCGUAGGCGGCCAGCGCAAGUCAGUUGUGAAAUCUCCGGGCUUAACUCGGAAAGGUCAACUGAUACUGCGCGGCUAGAGUGCAGAAGGGGCAACUGGAAUUCUCGGUGUAGCGGUGAAAUGCGUAGAUAUCGAGAGGAACACCUGCGGCGAAGGCGGGUUGCUGGGCUGACACUGACGCUGAUGCGCGAAAGCCAGGGGAGCGAACGGG
rnacentral:rRNA from 1 species